AUUUAUAUAGUAUAAAAAGUAUAUUUGAUUUCCAAUUAAAUGGUUUAUUAUUAAUAAUAUAAAUA
rnacentral:tRNA from 1 species